rnacentral:pre_miRNA from 1 species
GUGAGUUGGCAAAAGAAAGCCAUGAGUAUCUUAGAGCGGUGGGCUUAGGAACAUGGUGGAAAGCCUAGACUUCUUUUGGUCUCUAAAUUUAGAAGCCAAGGUAUGUUCUUUUGUUUUCGUGAUGCCUCCCAUGCCUAUUGUUCUUAGGUAUUCCUUCCUUUUCCUAUCAGCU